rnacentral:rRNA from 1 species
GAUGAACGCUAGCUACAGGCUUAACACAUGCAAGUCGAGGGGAAACGACAUCGAAAGCUUGCUUUUGGUGGGCGUCGACCGGCGCACGGGUGAGUAACGCGUAUCCAACCUUCCCCAUAGUCAGGAAUAGCCCGGCGAAAGUCGAAUUAAUGCCUGAUGUUUUCCACGGACGGCAUCUGAUGUGGAACAAAGAUUCAUCGCUAUGGGAUGGGGAUGCGUCUGAUUAGCUUGUUGGCGGGGUAACGGCCCACCAAGGCAACGAUCAGUAGGGGUUCUGAGAGGAAGGUCCCCCACAUUGGAACUGAGACACGGUCCAAACUCCUACGGGAGGCAGCAGUGAGGAAUAUUGGUCAAUGGGCGGAAGCCUGAACCAGCCAAGUAGCGUGAGGGAUGACUGCCCUAUGGGUUGUAAACCUCUUUUAUAAGGGAAUAAAAUACGGGACGUGUCCUGUUUUGCAUGUACCUUAUGAAUAAGGACCGGCUAAUUCCGUG